GCAUUAUACCGUGAAACUGCGAAUGGCUCAUUAAAUCAGUUAUCGUUUAUUUGAUAGUACCUUACUACUUGGAUAACCGUGGUAAUUCUAGAGCUAAUACAUGCUGAAAACCUCAACUUCGGGAGGGGUGUAUUUAUUAGAUAAAAAACCAACGCCCUUCGGGGCUUCUUGGUGAUUCAUGAUAACUUUACGGAUCGCAUGGCCUUGCGCCGGCGACGGUUCAUUCAAAUUUCUGCCCUAUCAACUUUCGAUGGUAAGGUAUUGGCUUACCAUGGUUUCAACGGGUAACGGGGAAUUAGGGUUCGAUUCCGGAGAGGGAGCCUGAGAAACGGCUACCACAUCCAAGGAAGGCAGCAGGCGCGCAAAUUACCCAAUCCCGACACGGGGAGGUAGUGACAAUAAAUACUGAUACAGGGCUCUUUUGGGUCUUGUAAUUGGAAUGAGUACAAUUUAAACCUCUUAACGAGGAACAAUUGGAGGGCAAGUCUGGUGCCAGCAGCCGCGGUAAUUCCAGCUCCAAUAGCGUAUAUUAAAGUUGUUGCAGUUAAAAAGCUCGUAGUUGAACCUUGGGUCUGGCUGGCAGGUCCGCCUCACCGCGUGUACUUGUCCGGCCGGGCCUUCCUUCUGGAGAACCUCAUGCCCUUCACUGGGCGUGUUGGGGACCAGGACUUUUACUUUGAAAAAAUUAGAGUGUUCAAAGCAGGCCUUUGCUCGAAUACGUUAGCAUGGAAUAAUAGAAUAGGACGUGCGGUCCUAUUUUGUUGGUUUCUAGGACCGCCGUAAUGAUUAAUAGGGACAGUCGGGGGCAUCAGUAUUCAAUUGUCAGAGGUGAAAUUCUUGGAUUUAUUGAAGACUAACUACUGCGAAAGCAUUUGCCAAGGAUGUUUUCAUUAAUCAGUGAACGAAAGUUAGGGGAUCGAAGACGAUCAGAUACCGUCGUAGUCUUAACCGUAAACUAUGCCGACUAGGGAUCGGGCGAUGUUC
rnacentral:rRNA from 1 species